rnacentral:rRNA from 1 species
GACGAACGCUGGCGGCGUGCCUAAUACAUGCAAGUCGAGCGCAGGAAACUGACGGAACUCUUCGGAGGGAAGGCAGUGGAAUGAGCGGCGGACGGGUGAGUAACACGUAAGGAACCUGCCUCAAGGAUUGGGAUAACUCCGAGAAAUCGGAGCUAAUACCGGAUAGUUCAUCGGACCGCAUGGUCCGUUGAUGAAAGGCGCUCCGGCGUCACCUUGAGAUGGCCUUGCGGUGCAUUAGCUAGUUGGUGGGGUAACGGCCCACCAAGGCGACGAUGCGUAGCCGGCCUGAGAGGGUGAUCGGCCAAACUGGGACUGAGAAACGGACCAGACUCCUACGGGAGGCAGCAGUAGGGAAUCUUCCACAAUGGACGAAAGUCUGAUGGAGCAACGCCGCGUGAGUGAUGAAGGUUUUCGGAUCGUAAAACUCUGUUGUAAGGGAAGAACACGUACGAGAGGGAAUGCUCGUACCUUGACGGUACCUUACGAGAAAGCCACGGCUAACUACGUGCCAGCCGCCGCGGUAA